rnacentral:rRNA from 1 species
UGCAGUCGAGCGGCAGCGACUUAACUGAACCUUUGGGGAACGUUAAGGGCGGCGAGCGGCGGACGGGUGAGUAAUGCCUGGGAAUAUGCCCUGAUGUGGGGGAUAACUAUUGGAAACGAUAGCUAAUACCGCAUAAUCUCUUCGGAGCAAAGAGGGGGACCUUCGGGCCUCUCGCGUCAGGAUUAGCCCAGGUGGGAUUAGCUUGUUGGUGAGGUAAUGGCUCACCAAGGCAACGAUCCCUAGCUGGUCUGAGAGGAUGAUCAGCCACACUGGAACUGAGACACGGUCCAGACUCCUACGGGAGGCAGCAGUGGGGAAUAUUGCACAAUGGGGGAAACCCUGAUGCAGCCAUGCCGCGUGUGUGAAGAAGGCCUUCGGGUUGUAAAGCACUUUCAGUAGGGAGGAAGGUAGUGUAGUUAACACCUGCAUUAUUUGACGUUACCUACAGAAGAAGCACCGGCUAACUCCGUGCCAGCAGCCGCGGUAAUACGGAGGGUGCGAGCGUUAAUCGGAAUUACUGGGCGUAAAGCGCUUGCAGGCGGCCUGUUAAGUCAGAUGUGAAAGCCCGGGGCUUAACCUCGGAAUUGCAUUUGAAACUGGCAGGCUAGAGUCUUGUAGAGGGGGGUAGAAUUUCAGGUGUAGCGGUGAAAUGCGUAGAGA